UGUGUAGGCGGUUCCCUAAGUUUGGUGUGAAAUCUCCCGGCUCAACCGGGAGGGUGCGCCGAAAACUGGGGGACUAGAGUGCGGGAAGGGAGAGUGGAAUUCCUGGUGUAGCGGUGAAAUGCGUAGAUAUCAGGAGGAACACCGGUGGUGUAGACGGCUCUCUGGACCGUAACUGACGCUGAGACACGAAAGCGUGGGUAGCAAACAGGAUUAGAUACCCUGGUAGUCCACGCCCUAAACGAUGCAUAUUUGGUGUAGGUCAUUCAGUUGAUCUGUGCCGGAGCUAACGCGUUAAAUAUGCCGCCUGGGGAGUACAGUCGCAAGGCUGAA
rnacentral:rRNA from 1 species